rnacentral:rRNA from 1 species
CCUACGGGCGGCAGCAGUGGGGAAUAUUGGACAAUGGGGGCAACCCUGAUCCAGCCAUGCCGCGUGUGUGAAGAGGCCCUCGGGUUGUAAAGCACUUUCAGUGAGGAAGAACGCCUGGUGGUUAAUACCCAUCAGGAAAGACAUCACUCACAGAAGAAGCACCGGCUAACUCCGUGCCAGCAGCCGCGGUAAUACGGAGGGUGCGAGCGUUAAUCGGAAUUACUGGGCGUAAAGCGCGCGUAGGUGGCUUGAUAAGCCGGUUGUGAAAGCCCCGGGCUCAACCUGGGAACGGCAUCCGGAACUGUCAAGCUAGAGUGCAGGAGAGGAAGGUAGAAUUCCCGGUGUAGCGGUGAAAUGCGUAGAGAUCGGGAGGAAUACCAGUGGCGAAGGCGGCCUUCUGGACUGACACUGACACUGAGGUGCGAAAGCGUGGGUAGCAAACAGGAUUAGAUACCCUGGUAGUC